AGGAAGUAAAAGUCGUAACAAGGUCUCCGUUGGUGAACCAGCGGAGGGAUCAUUACCGAGUUUACAACUCCCAAACCCCUGUGAACUAUACCUGUCGUUGCUUCGGCGGCCACGCCCCGGCGCCCUCGUGCCCGGAACCAGGCGCCCGCCGGAGGCCCCAAAAAACCAUGUUUACCACAGUGGCAUUAUCUGAGUGGCACAAGCAAAUAAAUCAAAACUUUCAACAACGGAUCUCUUGGUUCUGGCAUCGAUGAAGAACGCAGCGAAAUGCGAUAAGUAAUGUGAAUUGCAGAAUUCAGUGAAUCAUCGAAUCUUUGAACGCACAUUGCGCCCGCCAGCAUUCUGGCGGGCAUGCCUGUUCGAGCGUCAUUUCAACCCUCGCGCCCAAUUGCGGGCAGCGGUGUUGGGGACCGGCACCCGAAGGAAACCCCCCCGGGGGCCCUCCGAGCCGCCCCCUAAAUACAGUGGCGGUCUCGCUGCAGCCUCCCUUGCGUAGUAGCACACCUCGCACCGGAGCGCAGCGCGGCCACGCCGUAAAAAGGAAGUAAAAGUCGUAACAAGGUCUCCGUUGGUGAACCAGCGGAGGGAUCAUUACCGAGUUUACAACUCCCAAACCCCUGUGAACUAUACCUGUCGUUGCUUCGGCGGCCACGCCCCGGCGCCCUCGUGCCCGGAACCAGGCGCCCGCCGGAGGCCCCAAAAAACCAUGUUUACCACAGUGGCAUUAUCUGAGUGGCACAAGCAAAUAAAUCAAAACUUUCAACAACGGAUCUCUUGGUUCUGGCAUCGAUGAAGAACGCAGCGAAAUGCGAUAAGUAAUGUGAAUUGCAGAAUUCAGUGAAUCAUCGAAUCUUUGAACGCACAUUGCGCCCGCCAGCAUUCUGGCGGGCAUGCCUGUUCGAGCGUCAUUUCAACCCUCGCGCCCAAUUGCGGGCAGCGGUGUUGGGGACCGGCACCCGAAGGAAACCCCCCCGGGGGCCCUCCGAGCCGCCCCCUAAAUACAGUGGCGGUCUCGCUGCAGCCUCCCUUGCGUAGUAGCACACCUCGCACCGGAGCGCAGCGCGGCCACGCCGUAAAAC
rnacentral:misc_RNA from 1 species